rnacentral:rRNA from 1 species
CAAUUGUUUUUUAAUUGAGGACUAGAAUGAAUGAAUUUAUGGUUAAAUUCUUUAUUUAUAUAUUUUAUUAAAAUUUAUUUAUUAGGUGAAAAUACCUAAUUUUAUUUAUUAGACGAGAAGACCCCAGGAAUUUGAUCUUUUUUUUUUUAUUGGGGCGAUAUCUAAACAUCUUAAACUUUAGAUUUAUAAUAAAACGAUUUUUUUUAAUUUAAAAUAAAUUACCCGGGGGAUAACAGCAUAAUUUUUUAUAAAGAUUG